rnacentral:rRNA from 1 species
GAGGAAUUUUGCGCAAUGGGAGCAAUCCUGACGCAGCAACGCCGCGUGGGCGAUGAAGGCCUUCGGGUCGUAAAGCCCUGUCGGGCGGGAAGAAAGAUUGUGGGUUGAAUAGGCCUGCAAGUUGACGGUACCGCCAGAGGAAGCACCGGCUAACUCCGUGCCAGCAGCCGCGGUAAUACGGAGGGUGCGAGCGUUAUUCGGAAUUACUGGGCGUAAAGCGCGUGCAGGCGGGAGAAAAAGUCUGAUGUGAAAGCCCGGGGCUCAACCCCGGAAGUGCAUUGGAAACUUUUCUUCUUGAGUCCUGGAGAGGAAGGGGGAAUUCCCGGUGUAGAGGUGAAAUUCGUAGAGAUCGGGAGGAAUACCAGUGGCGAAGGCGCCCUUCUGGACAGAGACUGACGCUGAGACGCGAAAGCGUGGGGAGCAAAC